rnacentral:lncRNA from 1 species
UGACCAAGAACUGUGGAUUAACAUAAUCGUAACCUUUGGUGUUACGGGUAAAGACAUAUGGUGAAAGUUCUCUUCGGCAUGGGUUCAAAGAGAAAUUGUUGAUUGACAUGAUUAUGACCAUAAAUUAUUGAUUGGUAUGAUAAUAACCAUUGGUUUUACAGUUGAUGAAAUCUUGAUGUUGAAUUUUUCAAUUGGAGAAGAUAGUAGACAUUAUGAUCUAUUUGACACUUCUAAUGGAUUGCUCAUUCCACUGCGGUUAUUUGUGAAAAC